rnacentral:rRNA from 1 species
CCUACGGGUGGCAGCAGUGAGGAAUAUUGGUCAAUGGACGAGAGUCUGAACCAGCCAAGUAGCGUGAAGGAUGACGGCUCUAUGAGUUGUAAACUGCUUUUGUACAAGGGUAAACCUGAAUACGUGUAUUCAGCGGAAAGUACAUUACGAUUAAGGAUCGGCUAACUCCGUGCCAGCAGCCGCGGUAAUACGGAGGAUCCAAGCGUUAUCCGGAUUUAUUGGGUUUAAAGGGUGCGUAGACGGAUGGAUAAGUUAGAGGUGAAAUGUCCGGGCUUAACUCUGGAACUGCCUCUGAUACUGUGGAGCUAGAGAGUAGAUGCGGUAGGCGGAAUGUCUGGUGUAGCGGUGAAAUGCUUAGAGAUCAUAAAGAACACCGAUUGCGAAGGCAGCUUACCAAUCUAUAUCUGACGUUGAGGCACGAAAGCGUGGGGAGCAAACAGGAUUAGAUACCCGAGUAGUC